GGGGCGCCGUGGCGCCGGGAAGGAGUCGGCGCGAAAGCGGCGGGCGGCGCCGACAUCUUGGGGCUGGCUUCGUGCGCUCCCGCCGGCGGAGGCGGACCCUCCGCGCCACCGCGGAGACGCGCGGAGUGGAGGCUUGGUGUGGCAGUCCAGGGAGGAGCCCUCGCCGGGAGAGAAUCUGUUGUUAAAAGAGCCCUCGCUGUCCCUGGGGUGGAUUAGUAUCUGAAGGUGGCCUGGAAGCUCUCCAAAAACAUCGCCUUUGCCAUCUGGUGGACAAGCAGCAGAACAGCAAGUCCCCUUCGGCCAGCAGAGCCAGGUGCUUUUGUUUCCCCAAGCGCGGUUUUACCACAAAUCGGGGAGCGCUGGUGCAAAAACAUGAGGCGAGGCAUCUGAUGUCAGUGUAGUAAUUAAAGGGGGAAUGAAAGCCAUGGGAAAGGGGGGAAAGAACGAAAGUCGUAAACCUCCCUUAUUUGCAACAUAUGGGCAUCAUUAAAAAAAGGUUGAAAGGUAAUUAAAGAAGCUAUAAUGGCAAUAAAUUGCAUUUAUCUUGUAAUAAAAUUUUAGAUGUCA